CUAUGUCGGACUGGACAAGGACUAAUGAAUCCUUUGGCAUCAAGUAACGCAACCUAUAUAUUAUUGUAAUAGAGCGGUUGGUUUCCAUGGAUUUUCCAACUGCAAAACUGAAGAAACGGACAAGGUUUUCACUUUCCAAAAAUCCAGGAGGGGAGGGAAGGGAAGGGUAGGGAAGGUAUGGCUUGGUGCAAUCACUGUCUCCAAUUUUGCAGGACAUCUUGUGUUGCUAAUUUCAGGUGUUGUUUAGGGUGUGGGAAGGUUCUUGGUGAUCUUACUUGCAAGAAAAGAUCAAAGCUGAGAAUUUCAAAAUUUAAAAAAAUCAAAAGAAGAAAGAAUUGUUUUCCAACAAAAAUUAAAAAUUCAGCCAAGAAAACCUGAUUCAGCAGCAAGGCCCCAAUUCUUCGUCAACAUAACAAUUUCUAAAGAUUUCUUUUUUAUUUUUUAUUGUAUAAAUACGAAUAAUUGGGGCUUUUGGGAUUGUGUUCUGUUCAGUGGUCUUCCAAAAUAAUAAAUGAGCCUGACCAUAUUUUAUUCA